UACAGAGGGUGCGAGCGUUAAUCGGAAUUACUGGGCGUAAAGCGUGCGCAGGCGGUUCGCUAAGACAGAUGUGAAAUCCCCGGGCUUAACCUGGGAACUGCAUUUGUGACUGGCGGGCUAGAGUAUGGCAGAGGGGGGUAGAAUUCCACGUGUAGCAGUGAAAUGCGUAGAGAUGUGGAGGAAUACCGAUGGCGAAGGCAGCCCCCUGGGCCAAUACUGACGCUCAUGCACGAAAGCGUGGGGAGCAAACAGG
rnacentral:rRNA from 1 species